rnacentral:rRNA from 1 species
GACGAACGCUGGCGGCGUGCUUAACACAUGCAAGUCGAACGGAGAAGCUCCAGGUUGCUGGCUUGGAUCAUUGCCGCACGGGUGAGUAACACGUGAGCAACCUGCCCCUGUCUCUCGAAUAUGCGCUGGAAACGCCGGCUAUUACUGCAUACGAUAAUUUUCCGCAUGUGCUCUUUCUGUAAAGUACGUCGGUUGGGGAUAGGCUCGCGGCCUACCAGCUUGUUAGUGAGGUAGUGGCUCACCAAGCUGACGACGGGUAGCCGGCAUGAGAGGGCUACCGGCGACCAGGGGACUGAGAGACGGACCAGACGCCAACGGGAGGCAGCAGGGGGGAAUAUUGCACAACGGGCGAAAGCCUGAUGCAGCGACGCCGCGUGAGGGAUGACGGCCUUCGGGUUGUAAACCUCUGUCAGCAGGGAAGAAGCGAAAGUGACGGUACCUGCAGAAGAAGCACCGGCUAACUACGUG